GCCACGGUAGCCGAGUGGUAAGAGGCGAGACCUGCGAAGCUAAUAUGUAUUGUGGUACUGGGUUCGAUUCCCAGUCUUGGCC
rnacentral:tRNA from 1 species